rfam:Citrus clementina cultivar Clemenules unplaced genomic scaffold scaffold_9, whole genome shotgun sequence.
AGGUGCAACAUGCCAGCACUGAUGCACUAAAUUCCAUUAGAAUUUUACAGUUAAACAUGUUUAGUUGAAGCAUAAGUAAGGUGGUUGACCUGUUGAAAAAUUAUCACGUUGUACCCC